CAAGAUGAAGACACUGCAACUUAUCUCCCAAUGCAUCCACAAAAACAAAUAGUCAAGAGUUAGGCAGUGACCAUCAAAGUAGGAAUCACAUUCAGCCUGUCAGAAGUUUAAACCGCGGCCCUUCGGGAUGGUUAGAUAAUCAGCACGAAAUGAAACUGUUUCGCGCUCAAAUCUCUGUUUGGAAAGAAGGAAAAUGCAUGUAAAGAGAUUCCAAGAAAGAAACUGGAAAGAGGUAAAUGGUUUUUUACAACUUGCUUUCCACAUUGAAUGGUGUGUAUCCAUGGUUGAAGUGAUCAUUUGUCUGAAUCUAAUAACAUAUAUAAUUUAAUCGAACAGCUAGAAAGUAAGAUAUAUUCGAUCAAGUAAGACUUAGAGUGAUAAAUUGUGUGGUAGUGGACUAAAUUCAAUAGAUUAGCUAAAAGAAUUUAGUCGGUUAAAUCGAUUUCUUAACUGCAUAAGCCAAGCAUGGGGCUUGAGAAACUGUGAAGUAAGAUCUAGCGACCUGUAUCUUAUUUUUCAACAUGAUGAAUCAAACUAGGUAGAAUAAAUGUAGACUAAUCGACCAUGAAUCCCCAAUUUGAAACGCUGUAGAAAUCCUUAAUGAAAGAAUGAGUGUUAACUAAAUGAUUGACUUCUAAUUUAUGGUUUACAAAAGGCUUACAAGGAAUCUGAUGCCCCGUUGACAGUUCCAGACUGCUUCGGAGUUGAUCUGGCUUGGCAGCAAACAGUUUAUUAGCUUGACUGAAAGUGAGUCGUCCAAACUAACCACAACCCUACACAGGAAGACACUAGACAAAAAUGAUAGUCAAUUUUUUGAGAGAUUAAUAGGGAAAAUUCUCUUCAGGUUGCUUCUGCCAUGGAUAGUUUGGAGCUUCUGUCCGCCUCGGUUCCAUCACAAACUUUUUCAGGACUUCUCUGUUCCAGAUGGAUCAUUUCUGAGCCAAGCAUAAAGAAAAUAAUACAACUCUAAUAAUAUCUUUAAAGAAAGUUUAAACAUGGAAAUGAUAUUCAGAAAUCCUUCGAACAUGCUUCAUGAGCAACGUAAUCAUCAAGGAUAUCAAGAAUAAAGCAAAAGAGAACAUCAUUAAAUGGACUGUAGAUGAUCAUAAGAGAGAGACUGAUAAUGAAGCAAAGAUUUCUGUUAAGCAACUUGGAUAGGGAAGUGGUAGCAUCAAACUAAAGAGCAUAUUAGGCCUGGAUGAAGAAAUAGCCCCAAAAUGGCAAGCCAUUGAAAUGGGAAAAAAAGANNNNNNNNNNNNNNNNNNNNNNNNNNNNNNNNNNNNNNNNNNNNNNNNNNNNNNNNNNNNNNNNNNNNNNNNNNNNNNNNNNNNNNNNNNNNNNNNNNNNNNNNNNNNNNNNNNNNNNNNNNNNNNNNNNNNNNNNNNNNNNNNNNNNNNNNNNNNNNNNNNNNNNNNNNNNNNNNNNNNNNNNNNNNNNNNNNNNNNNNNNNNNNNNNNNNNNNNNNNNNNNNNNNNNNNNNNNNNNNNNNNNNNNNNNNNNNNNNNNNNNNNNNNNNNNNNNNNNNNNNNNNNNNNNNNNNNNNNNNNNNNNNNNNNNNNNNNNNNNNNNNNNNNNNNNNNNNNNNNNNNNNNNNNNNNNNNNNNNNNNNNNNNNNNNNNNNNNNNNNNNNNNNNNNNNNNNNNNNNNNNNNNNNNNNNNNNNNNNNNNNNNNNNNNNNNNNNNNNNNNNNNNNNNNNNNNNNNNNNNNNNNNNNNNNNNNNNNNNNNNNNNNNNNNNNNNNNNNNNNNNNNNNNNNNNNNNNNNNNNNNNNNNNNNNNNNNNNNNNNNNNNNNNNNNNNNNNNNNNNNNNNNNNNNNNNNNNNNNNNNNNNNNNNNNNNNNNNNNNNNNNNNNNNNNNNNNNNNNNNNNNNNNNAAACGAAAUGAACGGCUGUGAUCAAAAGGCAAGGGGUUAUAAAUAGAACCCCCACACCAGACCACAAACCCUAGCCGCCCGCCGCUCGCCGGAGAAGACGAACCAGAGGCCGACCGCCGCCACCCGCCGCCGCACCGGGGAAAUUUCCGACCGCCGAUCGAGGUAAAUUUCAUACCCCCGACUCGUUUUUCCCCGCUGAUUCCUCCUAUGGCCAAAUUGAGGCCGAAAUCCCGGCCAAACGGCCGGAAUACGCGGCCGAAACCCAGCGGCGCCGCCGCGCCCCCUCUCGGUUUUUGCCUCCGACGAGGUCCUUCCCGGCCUCCGUUCGAUGCAAUUUUUAUAUCAUCGUGAUCACCAUUCUUUUCUCUACAGGUUGACCGAAGCCGAAUCACCAAAACACGAACCUCGCCGGAGAGCCGCCGUACCCGAGGCGACUCGCCGCCGCCAGCGGCGGCGCCGUCGCCGGAGCACGGCGGAGCCGCCGUGCCGGAGUUGCGAUUUGGGCCGAAAGAGGCCCUGGGCCUAAUUUGGAUUUUUUUUGGAACACGUGCAGGUACUGUUAGUGUGUUUCAGUUCCCCGGGAAAAAUUCAGGAAAAAUUAGGGACGGCCUGCAGGCGCACUGUGAAUCGUAUUCGGAUCCCGAAAACAAGUAAGGACCCCUCACCCUAUUUCCUAUCACGGUAUUAAAGUUCAAAAUGAUAAAACGGUAUUUCUUGAAUUAACGAAUGUGUGAAAUUGCUUAAGGUGGCUAAUGGAGCCCGAGUCUAGUGUGAUUGGUGAUUUACUGUUAUUUGGCCUGUUUACAGCUUUAAAUGCAAAAUGAGGUUUGAUGUGUUCAUUUUACAGAUUUGUGUGCAUAUACUACGUUUUUAUUAAUCAUGGGUUGAAUGACUGAAAAACUGAUACUGUAUGUUGUCUGUUUGGCAUGAAUUACUGUUUUGCUUGUUUGUAUGUGAAUUGAUGAUGCUGACUGAGGAAAAGGAAAAUGAAAGAUUGUGUAGACUGAUAAUUGUAUUAUGGGGGUCAGCCUGACUAGAUAUCCUGGGAGAUGGUGGACGGACCGGGUCCGUAGGGAACCCUACCGGGAUUGUGGUCUCACAUGCCGGACGGGGUAUGGAGAUCUUAUGGUUUUGGCGCCUAUACCGGACGGGGUAUGGGGACGGCCCGUUUCACCCUCAUACCGGACGGGGUAUUGAGGUUUAUGGUUUUGGCGCCCAUACCGGACGGGGUAUGGGGACGGCCCGUUUCACCUUCAUACCGGACGGGGUAUUGAGGUUCAUGGUUUUGGCGCCCAUACCGGACGGGGUAUGGGGACGGCCCUGGAAACUGAUUAUGAAUGUUAAAGGUUAACGGGUAGCGGAACCCCUAUGGACCCCCACGGAUACUAGUAGGCUGGUAAAUGAGAAAAAGAUAUGUUGUACAAUGAUUGAAAUUUUAAGGGGCGUGAUAAGUGUUAUGUUUUACAGCUUAUAUUAUUCAAUGAUUAUGAUAAUGUUAUUGUUUUUCUUAUAUUGUUUUCAUAAAUUCCACCGAGGUAAGUGGAGGGUAAAGGUUUUCAUGUUAAUAAACGAGUUUGUUGUAAAUUAUGCUCCAUUGGUCUUUUGUGUUUUUCUACCCACCUUUACCUCCGUGACGGUGAGAUAUCGUGAUGUUCUUACUGGGUUAGUGUAGCUCACUCAUUAUUUAACCAUUUCAGAUCAGGAAGACAUGGUUCCCGAGCCCGUUCCGCAGGAGGACGACGAAGGGGAUGCCUAGAGACUCUGUAGUCAUACUCAUAGUUUUAUUUUCGAGUUUCUCUCUUAGUUAGUUUAAUCUUUUGUAUUUUAAGUACGUUUUUGGUUUUUUUUCGUGUAAGGGAUGUUAACUGAAAUUUUGAUCUCGCUUCCGCAUUUGAUAUAUUUAAAUACUCAUUUCAUUUUAAUAUUUCCGGGGCCGUUACAAUAUAUGUAUUGAUGGGAAACAAAGGUGCACUCCCCUCAAUUUGCUCCUGAGAAAACAUUAUGACUGGUUCACAUUGAUUUAUUUAGUAAAUACGAACUGGCUGCUAUCUAAAGCACUUAUAUUCUCGGUAUAAUCAAGAAUCAAACACCACUUUCUCUGCCCAUCAUCCGGAUGAAUCAGUCCCUCACGAAAAUACUCUCCUCUAGGAUCAAGCAGUUUGGCUGUUUGUCAUCCUUAAGGCCUAACUCCUAUUGUGUAUAUGUACAUCUUAAAAAUUUCACUUGCUUCUUUCAGAAAUUCGCAAACGAGUGGUCUUAAUUUGGUCUCAAAUGCAUGAAUUCCAACAUGAAGAGGUUUCCUUUCAGAAGGUCUGUUCAUUUCAUAAUUCUUGAAUCUGAUGAUGUUACAGUAAUAUAGCUUAAACUCAAAGAUCAUAAGAAUCCAGUAAAGAAAUUCAAUAAGUCGAUAUUAUGAUGGUCAAUCAACAAGCACAGGCAUGCAUGCAGUAAAAUUCAUAACAUGUUUCUCUUAACUUUUGAAGUGAAAGCAAAUUCAAUACAGAUCCACAGGAAUAAUUGUGGGGAAAAAAAUAAGAAGGCACACACAGCUUUUCCAAAAUUCAACAUAAUACCUACGACAUGAAUCUCACAAAGACGCAUAAGCUUUACUUUCCAUCAAUGAGAAGACAUUUUCGUAAGCUUUACAUUAAGACUUUGGAGUAUGUGACAGCAAAUGGUAAGCGAAGCUUAUCAAACCCAUACGAGGUUAGCUCCAGAAAACCACAGGAAAACCAUCUUCAAUAAGUACCAAGUCCUACUUAUUGCCUGUUCAGAAAUAGUUCUUAGAAGAACAUGACAAGAACAACUUCUUUUAAACAUUUAAGAGAUAUAAAUGUUACAUACAGGCAUAUACAUGUCUGUGCAGCAGAAAACAAAUUUUUCAACGGUAGGUCUUCUUUCUAAAAGAAAAUUAUUCAGAAACUAAUUUGAAAAAGAGUUAUAAUUUCGUACCUGAUCUACAUAUGAGUAUGUGCAGAAGAAUUCUCAUGCAUCCGUUCAAGAAAGUGCAAGCAGGAAUACAUGUGGACAUGCGUGGAAAUGCACAUACACACACUAACAAACAUUAAGUACAUGAAAUCAAAACCCUGUUUCUUUUCCAUUCUUUUUAUACCAACUUCAAAACUCAACAGAAUUUCACCAGUGAAAGAGAAAUAUUCUACCAGUCCAAGGAGCAGAAGCUGUGUGGCUUCAACUCCGGGACUAGCAUCAGAGAAUCAUACCUGUUACUUCAUCUGGUGAUGCACGGCAGGUUAAUCCAUUUGGCUGCUCUAUGUUUUCCAACUUUUCAAUGUUUCUUCUUUUAUCCUGCAAGGUAAUCCAAAAAAGAGAUUUACAAUACACAUGCAUGGAUAGAGAAAGUUACCGAUUUGUUUACAAAAAUAUCGAUAAGAAAAUUGCAUGUGGGGGACAGUAUUCCCACAUGCUAAGAGAACUAUUAAGUCAAGCUCUUGCUAUAAAGAACAUGAGCAACUAUACUUUUACCUAAUGCCUACUACAUUACAUGGUUUCCUCUGCACAGAAUGUCCACUCUGUAACAGCUGUGUUCAUCCAAGCCUUAAACCCAAGUAGUUUAUUACCAAAGAGAUGUCAAAUUACGGAAAGUGAUUACUUGGAUGUAUCUACCACUUCAUACAGUUUCAUGCAAGCGACAAGAUCAGCAAACUCAAUGAAUCAUACCCCAUAGGAUAAAUUAAGAUAAAAAAUCCAAAUCAUAGAUAUACAGUAAAACCUCUGCCACCAAACUAGAAAAUCAAAGUCCUUGUGAAAAUUGUGACAUAAAUAGCAUGUUCAGAUAAAAAUAAUAACAAUCAGUUUACAAUCCAGAUCCCACAUUUUGACUAUUAGGUCAUGUUUGGUAUGGUGGGUAGGGUAAGUUAAGGCUAGUUCAUUAUUCCAAACAAUUUUAACUCGUUCGAUUCAAGAGAACAUUCCUAUGAACUUCUUAUUCUCUGAAAUCAAGACUUAAUUACUUAUUUUGGGAAUACUCAAAGCCCUGCUAGACACUACAAGAGCAUAAUAGAGCAAUUCAAAAGUUACCUCCCCCUUUCAGUGUAAGAGUUAUCCUCAACUCCAUCACCUUGAGAUGAUUCAACAGAUUCAGAUUCCAGCUCUGCAUCAAGAAAUGCAGCGAAGUUGUCGCUACUAGAUGAAUGCACCGGAGAAUCCAUCAAAAAACUCAUUUGGUCAUCCACGCAAUAAAAAUGCUUCAAUUCAAAUGAAAAAUAAUAAGAUACAAAAGAGAAGUGCUUGAAUUCUAGAAUUCUUCUUACUUUUCCACAUGCAAACAAGAAUGCUAUUCUUCUUACAGAGUUCAUUAAGCACUUUUACCCAAUUCUACAUCUGUGAUGGCUGAUUAAGAAACGUAUUAUAUGAAGUUAUCGUACCAAGCUAGUACCGAACGCCCAUUAAAAAAAAGCAAUGUUUUGAAGCUUCUCUUGAGGUGUGUCUCAAAAUGAAGGUGGAAUGCAUUAGGCAAAGGAUCCAGUUGGCUUAGAAAGACAGUUAUGAUGAGGACAAAGUAUCAAUUCACUAGGUGCAUGUGAUGAAUACCCAUGAGGAAAGGUAAAAGAACCUUUCCUGGUGGAUUUAAUUAACAAACUCUAUAAUCAAACUCGGUUACAGAGAAAAUUAAAGCCUAAGUAGCUUGUUUUGACUUGACAAUACACCCAAGCAAAUCCCUCAAACUAAAAUUAACUUUCCCCUAAGUGCAUCAAUAACCUCAUCCUCAACACCUAGAUGAUGCUUAAGAUAAAAGUGUAAGAACAAAAUGUUCACUGAUUAAAGAAUUCCAAACAACUUAAUAUGCCUGUAACUCAAUAAAAAACUCCUUGGGAAGAAUCACUAGCAAAGGGAUUGUACAACACCAUACACUUUUUCUCAAAGAUAGAACUAACUUGUUUAGACUCACAGAAGUUCUCGUUAAAGAACCCUAUAGCAUAUGGCUGUUGACUCACUGUAGCACCUAUUCCAACUCUUAGGUAAUCGAAGCAAUUGCAAAGAAGCUACCUUUACGUACCUCUGUGCAUAGCCAUCCACCUCCACGACGCAAUGCAGCAUCAUGUCAGCGUCAUCAGCCUCAUUGGCCCAAGUUCCCUUGACUCAACAAAACCUUCAGGGACUCCAAGCUACCUCUAAAUGUAGCUCUGUGCAGAGCCAUUCAUCUCUUAUGGUCCUUCUUGUUAACCUUCCCCACCAACUCCAGACAGUUCUUGAUUAUGUACACGUCGGUUACCCUCGCGACUCGCUGCAAAAGAUCGCCAGAUAAAGCACGUCGUGCAGAUCUGAGUGCUCGUUUUCCAGUGCCAGCCGCGAAAGGGGCCUUGCAUUCUAUAUUCACUACGCAUUUGGCAAAACUAGAGGUUUCGAGUAACACUGUUGAAGAUUGAGUUUUCCACGGGACAAGUAGUUUGAUUUUGUUUUUUUCAUACUUACUGUUUACUGUUUCCUUCAUGUUUACUGUUUCCUUCAGGUAUUGACUACAGCAGAAAACUCCUAUUUUUUCUGCAAAUUUUCCUUUUCACUUUCUUUCAUAUUCUUCCAUAUUUCAGAAAUUUAAUUAACUAACAUUUUAAAGAGUGGUAUCAGAGUUGCUGUUUUUGUAGGCUGUGAGGAGUUAAGCAAACUUGUUUUUUGAUUAAACUUCAUCAAGUUGACAGAAAAUGGCCAUGAAUUUGAACCUACCUGCACUACUAGUGUUCACAGGAGAAAAUUAUGAUUAUUGGGCUGUAAGGAUGGAAUCAUAUUUGCUUGCUUAUGACUUAUGGGCUUCUGUAGAGGAAAAUUAUGAUAGGGUAUCUUUAUUUGAAAAUCCUACAUUAACACAAAUUCGUCAAGAUGUAGAGAGCUCCAUGAAGAAUAUCAAAGCUCUAUCCAUUCUCCAUUCAUCUGUAUCAGAAGAUAUUUUUUUAAGGUCGGUUGGUUUUAGCACGGUAAACAAAAAGCUUAGAAUUAUUUAAAGGAAGAGUACAUUAGAAGUGCAAAUGUGAGAAAUGUAAAAUUAUUAACAUUAAAGAGGGAGUUUGAGCUGAUGAAGAUACAAGAAGGUGAAAGUGUUAAAGACUACUAUACCAAGGUUAUGAAUCCGGUGAAUCAAAUCAGAUUGCACGGAAGGGAUUUCAAGGAUCAAAGAGCAGUAGAAAAGAUGAUGAUCAGUCUUCUAGAGAAGUUUGAAUCAAAACUCUUAGUGAUUGAAGAAACUUGCGAUAUGGAAUAGUUGACAGUAGCUAAGCUGAUAAGCAAGUUGCAAGCUCAAGAGCAAAGAACUUCUAUCAGAAGCGAUGGUGUUGUAGAAAAUGCAUUCCAAGUUAGACAAAAGGGAAAACAAGUUGCUACAACCUUUAAAAAAGUUAGUAAGUCUUUUGAGCCUAAAAGUAAAGAACACCAAAGCUCAAAAGAGUCAAAUAAAAAAGAAAAACUUCUUGUUUGCAGCCUUUGUAGCAGGAGUGGGCAUCUGGAGAGUAAAUGCUAGAAGAAUUUGCAAUGUAGAGUUUGUAAAACGAUAGGAUACAGUGCAAAAGUUUGUUGGAAAAGAAAUAAAAAAUUAUAAAAUACACAACAAUAACAAAAAUAGUCUACUGAGCAACAACAAGCUAACUUUGUGGAGAAUCAGACGCAUCAGGAGAGCCGUUUGUUUAUAGUUACUCAAGAUCUUUAUGUACCUGAUGUUGAUAUAUGGUACAUUGACAGUGGUUAUACAAGUCACAUGGCUGGAGAUCAGAGACUAUUUUCUAGUCUAGAUGCCAGCUGCAGAAUUAAAGUAAAACUUGAAAAUAGGAUGAUUGUAAAAGCUCAAGAUAAAGGUUCAGUGCUAAUUAACAAUAAAUAAGGUACAAAAUUAAUUACUGAUGUCUUGCUUAUUCCUGGUCUAGAGCAAAAUUUAUUGAGUGUGGCUCAAAUGCAAAAUAAAGGAUAUUCAGUUUUAUUCAGAAAUAAUUGCUGCUAUGUAUAUGAUGCUGCAAAUGUUGAGGUUGUGAGAGUUAAUAAGGUUGAUAAUAGUUAUAUUUUAUGUUUGAAGCAUGUGAAUCAAAUUGCCUUUCUAUUAAAAAUGAUGAAACAUUGUUGUGGCAUAAAUGUUUUGGUCACUAUCAUAUUGAUGCAUUAAAGUUGAUGCAGAAGAAUAAUAUGGUGAGUGAUAUGCCUGUUAUUUCUUGUGGAGAAGAAGUAUGUGCAGCUUAUCAGUAUGGUAAAAUGUAUAUGACCAAUUUUUAAACUGGUGGAGUUAUUCGUGCAAUAAGAAAACUUGAACUAAUCCACUUUGAUGUUUGUGGGCUUAUGAGCGUUGCUUCCUUCAGCUACAAUAAAUAUUUUAUUUUGUUUAUGGACGAUUUUACAAGGAUGACCUAAGUUUACUUUCUCUCAAAUAAGGGUCAAGUGUUUACUGUGUUUAAAAAAUUUAAAUCAUAUAUAGAAAAACAAAGUGGAUGUGAGAUAACAAAUUUAAGGUCUAAUAAUGGCAGUGAAUAUACUUCAGCUGAGUUCAGAAAAUUUUGUGAUGAUUGUAGUAUAUUGCAGCAAUUUAUUGUUGUUUAUUCACCUGAGCAAAAUGAAGUCUCAAAAAGAAAGAAUAGGACAAUAAUGAAGAUGGCCAGGUGCUUGAUGUCAGAGAAGGAGUUGCCCAAAAGUUUUUGGGCUGAAUCUCUAUAUACUUCAAUUUAUCUGCUUAACCGACUUUCCACCAGAUCAGUUAAAAAAAACUCUAAUUGAGGCAUGAAGUGGUUCAAAGCCUUCAGCAAAGCACUUGAGAAUCUUUGGCUCAAUUUGCUAUACACUUAUUCCUUUUGUGAAGAGGACCAAGUUGGAUGAUAGAACUCAAAUUGAUAUAUUCUUAGGAUAUGCAAAAUAGACUAAAUGUUAUAGAAUUUAUGAUGUGCAUUUUGGUAAAGUAUAUGUCACUAGGGAUGUAAGAUUUGAUAAACAAGCUUGUUGGGAUUGAGAGAAGAAACAAGUUAAAAUAAAAAAAAAUUGAGGAAGGCUCAGUUGCUUUCAAAUCUAUAUUGGGUCCGAGUAAUUCUGUUCAACAUGAACAAAGCGACCGUGAUGUUAAUUCAAAUCCUACUGUUGAUACUCCUACCAAGAAAACAAAGUCACUUGCUGAAAUUUAUGAGAGAUGCAACUUAGCAGUUAUAGAACCAUCUAACUUUGAUGAAGCCUCAAAGUAUCCUGAAUGAAAAACGGCUAUACGGGAGGAGUUUGACACAAUUUGCAAGAAUGAAACAUGGGAGCUAACAUCAAGACCUCUGAACAAGAAUGUGAUAGGGAUAAAAUGGAUUUACAGAACUAAGUUUAAUACUGAUGGGUCAGUCUUCAAGUAUAAAGCUAGACUUGUGGUGAAGGGAUAUGCUCAGCUUGCAGGAGGAUAUUUUGGUGAUACUUUUGCACCAGUUAUAAGACAUGAAACAAUAAGGUUACUUGUAGCUCUUGUAGUAAAGAAAAGUUGGAAGCUGUUACAUUUAGAUGUUAAGUCAGCCUUUAUAAAUGGAGUCUUGGAAGAAGAGAUUUAUGUGGAGUAGCCACAAGGUUUUCAGGUUUUUGAAGAUGGUGAUUAUGUGUAUAAGUUAAAGAAGACCUCAUAUGGGCUUAAGCAAGUUCCUAAAACUUGAUACACCAGAAUUGAUUCACAUUUGAUCAGCAUGGGUUUUAGGAGGAGCAAAACUAAAGCAACUCUUUAUGUGAAGGGUGUUGAUGACAACAAUCAGUUUGUUGUAUCAAUAUAUAUUGAUCAUUUGCUAGUGAUAGGAGGAGACUUAAAGCUGCUAAUGCAAUUUAAACAACAUAUAAUUGCAGAGUUUAAGAAAAUGACUUAUUUCCUUGGUAUGGAGGUCAAGCAACUGGAUGAUGAAAUUCUUUUUUCUCAAAGAAAGUAUGCAUGAGAUGUCUUGAAGAGCUUUAAAAUGGAGAAUUGCAAGUCAACUACCAUAUCACUUUCUGCAGGUAAAAAGUUGUCAAAGUUUGAUGAAGCUGAGAAAGUAAUUACAAGUUUUUAUAGAAGUUUGAUUGGAAAACUCAUGUAUUUGACUGCUACCGGGGUAGAUUUGAUGUUCUCAGCUAGUUAUUUAUCAAGAUUUAUGAAUUCACCUAGUUAAAAGCACCUUGGAGCAGCAAAAAGGGUGCUGAGGUAUUUAAAAAGAACUUUGGUUAUGAUAUUUGGUAUUCAAGAGAAGAAAAUGGUGCAUUGUAAGGAUAUUCUAAUAGUGAUUGGGCAGGAAAUUCAGAUGAUUGCAAGAGUACUUCAGGAUUUGUUUUUUCAUUUGGGUCAGGUGUCUUUGCUUGGAAUUCAAAGAAGCAAGAGGUUGUAACUUAGUCCACUACUAAGGCUGAAUAUAUAACUGCAGCUGUAGUAGCAAACCAGGCUAUAUGGCUCAAAAAUUUUUUGAAUGAACUUAAUAUGGUGCUGGAGGUUCCAACUGUUAUUUAUGUGGAUAAUAAAUCUGUUAUUGCAAUUGCAAAUAAUCUUAUUCAACGUGUAAGAACAAAACAUAUUAAAGUGAAGUAUCAUUUUCUUCGUGAAGAUGAAAAGAUGGUGAAAUUCAUUUAGUGUAUUGCAAUUCAAAUGAUCAAGUUGCUGAUAUACUUACCAAAGCUCUGCGUAAGUGUAAAUUUGAAGAUUUAAGAAUAAAACUUGAUUUGUUCAAUAGAAAACUCAAAGAGGAGCGUUGAAGAUUGAAUUUUUCGUAGAACAAGUAGUUGAUUUUGUUUUCUUCAGACUUUAUAUUUAAUGUUUCCUUCUGGUAUUAAAGUUCUAUAUCUUUCGGUUUAAAUUAUAAUAUAUAUCAGAUUUAGUAGAAUUUGUAUAAAAUUAAAGUCAAAUCUUUAAUAUUUAAGUUGAAGAAUAAGAGAUUAUCUUAUUCAAAAUUAGUUUGUACUAUUAUUAUUACUGUAAAAUAAAAUGAAAACAGUAUAUAUAUAAUUAUUAUUAAAUUAGUUUGGAGAAUAUAUAUUUUUACAUUGUAAAUAUUAUAUAUCUAUUUAUAUGCAUGUGACGUACGCUCCCAUCAUAUAUAUUUUAGGGUGGUAGUACAUAUGCCACAAGGGCAAUUUCAUUAUCAUAUAUAUAUAUAUAUAUCAUAUACAAUAUAUAAUUUUUACAUGGAUACUAUAUACUAUAUAGCUAGGUUUACCAAAAAAACCAUAUUAUGUAUAUAUACAAGUUCCAAAGUAUACUGCAUACAUUCAUCACAUAUAUAUAUAUAUAUGUAUAAGAUCUUUUAUCAAUCUAUCUACAGUCUCAUAAUCAAAAACACUAUACAAUCCCCAAGCCCAUAUAUAAACUCAACGUCUAAUUAGACUCAUCCAAUUACGUAAACUACACAUAUAUUAUCUAGGCAAUAUAUGUAUAUAAUGUAUGUAAAGCUAGUAGCUGUACCAGCUUGUCUUUCUUUCUUUACAUCAAACACAUACAUGCUUGAUCGGUAUGACAUGCAUCUUGUAUCUGCUAUCAUAUAUAUUGCAUCAAGUCAUUUGGCAUAUAUAUAUAUAUAUGUAUAUAUACACACACACAUAUAUAUAUAUACACCACAAAAAAACCGCAGCUAAAUCCAUCCUUUCUUGCCGCAGUUAGUCAUCUUCCUUAAUUGGAAGCUCUGCAAGUUGAUCACAAGAUAUCUCAUGAACAAACCUAAAUCCUUGUUUCCUACUUCGAUCUCAUCUCAACUUUUUGCCAAAAUGAAUUAAUCGUCACCAAUUAAUUAAUCAAUUCCAACAGAAAUCAGGCUGAUCAUCACCAUUUCCCAAUUCUAAUCUUCUGAUGUGCAGCUGGUUAGAGGGAAAACUAUUUAGGUUUCCUGAGAGAGAUAUACUCUCACAAUGGGGAGGAGGGCCAAGAGUUAGAGAAAUACCAUUAGAUUUUCCAUGGAUUAAUCUUGGUGUACUCAACUGCUGAUCCAUUAAAUUGAUAUACCCACCAAACCCACCUGAACCGUUGAUCAGAUUCUGAUCAUCAUCAUCAUCAUCGUCAUUAUCAUCAUCAUCAUCAUCACCAUCUCCAAACUUUGAAAGAUUCAUUCCCCCAUUACCACUAGUUAUAAUUUGCUUCAUUUCUAUCCCACUUGAUAGUACUAUCUUACGGCUUGGGGAAUUCUGCAAUUCAUGACUCAAUAUCCUUUGUUUCUUUGUAGUACUACUCCUGAUCUGAUUAUCAUCAUUAUCAGCAGCUUUAGUACUAUUAAUUCUGGCCGGUUCGACACG
rnacentral:lncRNA from 1 species